CCUACGGGUGGCUGCAGUGGGGAAUUUUGGACAAUGGGCGCAAGCCUGAUCCAGCCAUUCCGCGUGAGUGAAGAAGGCCUUCGGGUUGUAAAGCUCUUUCGCAAGGGACGACAACUUAUCCUCUAACAUAGGAUGAGGUUGACGGUACCUUGAUAAGAAGCACCGGCUAACUACGUGCCAGCAGCCGCGGUAAUACGUACGGUGCGAGCGUUAGUCGGAAUUGCUGGGCGUAAAGCGUGCGCAAGCUGUUAAAGCCCCGAGCUCAACGUGGGAAAUGCGUUUGAAACUACAAGACUAGAAUAGGUCAGAGGGGGGUAGAAUUCCACGUGUAGCAGUGAAAUGCGUAGAGAUGUGGAGGAAUAUCAAUGGCGAAGGCAGCCCCCUGGGAUCAUAUUGACGCUCAUGCACGAAAGCGUGGGGAGCAAACAGGAUUAGAUACCCCGGUAGUC
rnacentral:rRNA from 1 species